GUUUUAAAGGUUUCCAACCUACUGAUGAAUUUGAAGAUAGACUGAAAUGAAACCAACAAUGCUUCAAGUUGAAAAAUAAGAAGUCGAUCAACUGGAAAUCGCGAGCUGGCAAUCUCCUUCAUUCCAGUCUCAUCGAUGGACCUGGACGCCGCCACUGAGAAAACGCGAAUCCCCUGCUCGCGAGCCUUCUCUGCCGUCACCUUGAUCCCACCGCAAGGACUUCCUGUCACGUGGCCGUCAGUGAUGACCACAGAGAAGAGUGCGGCUUUUAUUCCCCAAUAGUCCUGAGUCAUGUGAUAGGUCAUAUUUUGAAGGGCACAGUCGAUGUGGGUGCCUUUGCCCAGGUAUCGAAUGCCACUGAGGCUCCUGACGAAGCUCUCUCUUGUGGCAAACUGGCUGAAGACCACCUGCGUCUGGGAGAAGUGCAGGCCUCCGAUGGACCAACUGAUGUGGACCUGACCCUGGUACUCUUCAUCCCGCAGCCUCUGGACAAAAUUCCGCAUGAACUCUUUGAUGUUUUCCACCAGUAUACCAGGCGGGGACUCCUGCAGGGCAAUGGUCUCGGAGGUGUCGAUGGUGAAGAACAGCUUGAUGGGACAGUUGAUUAUCCUACCUGGGAAUUUUAUCUGCAGUGUCUCCUGGCAAUGGAAAUGGCCGGGGCCCACGAGGAGUCAGUUCUUGAGGCACAGCCGCAUAGACCAUGUACAGUAAGAUGAACCCUGGUAGAUGAAUUAUUGCCAUUUUCCUGGAAUAUCACCACCCCCUUCCUUGUUAAGUAAGACAGAGAAGAAGUCAGUUCAGUUGUGGAAGGCAUCACUUUACACACAAGAACCAGAUGUCAAACAGGUCGGUCUUUGCAAAAGAUGUUGCCAAAGCAACCAGGGAUGUUUAUCAUUGUUUGAAACAUCCCUGAACAAGUAGAUCAACUUGAAAUGAUGGCUAAAGCUUAUCACUGUUCUGUUUCCUGUUAAAUUCUCUAAAUCAUUACAGUGGACAAGCGUAGAAACAACAAAAUGACAAGUUAUUCUUUUAAGGGAAGAAUGUCUGCAACGUGUGCUUUUUUUUUAUCUAAAGUCAGAACAUUUUGAGGGAGUAAAUAUUCCAUAUUUGGGUCUUAUUGAGCCAUGUUCCAAACCUCCACACUGAUCGGACAAACAACUUAGGAAAAACAUUAAAGGGGAAUCUGAAACCGGCACUACUUUAAAAUGGUGUUUUGAUUAGAAAAGAGUGAUGUGUGCUGGGAAAUAGAAUCUUCAAACACUGACUUUACAGCCAGCUCCAUAAAUUCCAACUAGAAAACAUUGCUGAACCUUUAUUAAAAAUG